AUGUUGAAAAAACUCAAGUUUGUAGUAGUGGUUGCAAGCUCCAGUUACCGUCCUAACAUUGUAUGGUAUUGCUCCUGGUAGGUAGCGAUCAAUUAAAACAAAUUUAAAGGUUGACUUCAAUGUAAUGGUGAAAAGUGCCUCAAAUUGCCCAAGAAAUCAAGUAAUUUAACUUUAGGGCUAGUAAAAAUAUCCUAAAUAAUUGUAUGGCAUUGCUUUUUCUUAAGCCCAAUGUACAUCUAGUAAUUUAACUUCUUUGUUUUUAAGGCCUGGCCACCUGGGUUAAUAUAGAAGCUAAAAUUUCUGGUCCAUGAGCUAUGUAAAUGAGCCCAGAAAUGUGUAAUUUCUCGUGCUGCCUUCAACCAAGGGCUUUCCCAUGAGAAACCCUUGAUUCCUGAUGCCCUUUUUGACCUAGUCAUUGUAUUUGUCCUCGAAAACUGACACACUGAAAUUAACUUUUGAAUUCAUCUUCAAAAAAAGAAAGAGUGCGGGACUUUUUUCUGGUUAAAAAAACAAAAAAAACAACGGUGACUUGAGUGGGAGUAGAUUUUUGCAGUUACCUGACUAUCAAAAGAUCAAAAUAAAAGCAUAAAAUUUAGGUGUUUUUUUUAUUUCCAAGAAAACUUAAAAAUAUAGUAAUUCAAAAUUGAAUGGUUUUACUUAGUUGACUCUAUUCUUUAAACAUUUUUAAGACUUAAUAAGGUGUGUGAGAGGGUAUUUUGGGACAGGAAAAAGGUCAAUCCCCAAACCAGGAAUCAUCAUCAUCAUCUUAUUAUUAAUAGCAUAGAGUAUAGAAGAGGUAUCUUCAAAAAGUAAAGUUAAAUUAUAGCCAAAUAUAAAGAAAAACACAUAUAAUCACAAUUAUUUUGUACGUACCUAUAAAUCAUCAAUGAAUUAUUAUAAAGUAAAAGUAUAUUUUUAUAUUAGAAAAUUGUUUAUUACUAUUGUAGCACAUAUAUGAAUAUUAACAAUUAGGCAAAAUUUAAAUUUAAUUUUGUAGAUUAGGUUCCUUAAAUAAAUUCAAACACAUGAUUGUAUUAACUAAUAAAAUAUAAGAAAAAAGAAAAAAGAAAAAGAGGAAUUGGGAGAAUUAAAUGGGAAGAAAGCCUUUCCAGAAUAGGAAAUAUGAGUGGCAUUGUGUUGAGUGGAUUAAAGAAACAAAGAACCAAUUAAAAAAUUCUGUGUGGAAACCGUGUGUGUGAUAUCAUCACGCAAGCCAUAAAUAAAAACUUCUAUCUAUAACCAGGCCUUUCUUGUCAGUCCCUUCCACGAAAUAAACCAAAGAAAAAAGAAAAAGAGGAAUUGGGAGAAUUAAAUGGGAAGAAAGCCUUUCCAGAAUAGGAAAUAUAAGUGGCAUUGUGUUGAGUGGAUUAAAGAAACAAAUAACCAAUUAAAAAAUUCUGUGUGGAAACCGUGUGUGUGAUAUCACCACGCAAGCCAUAAAUAUAAACUUCUAUCUAUAACCAGGCCUUUCUUGUCAGUCCCUUCCACGAAGUAAACCAAAUACAACUAAAAGAAACAGGAUUAGCCUUAGACUUAAAUUAUAAAAAAAAAAAAAAAAAAAAAACCGAAAUUCAAUCCUCUACAUUAGAGAGAGAAGAAAAAAAAAAACUUUUAAUUAUUCUUUUGUAAUUUUCGAAAUUAUUUGAUUGUAAUAUUUAUCCUUUCGUUUAGUAGUAGUAGGACUAGAAGUCUAGGACUUACUAGUUACUAGCAGGAUAUAUAUUUAAGCUUUCAACGAUAUAAAGAUUUUAAUUUUAGUUUUUAAUUUUUAGUUUUUUGGGUGGAAACUAAUUGGCAAUUAGAGCCUAUAAAUUACCUUGCUUAAUUAAGGGCUUUCUCAUUUCAAAUAUAACUCCUGAGUUUAGAUAGGUCAUAAGAUUAUAAGUUUGAGUGAGAUGGAAGGCGUUGAUGCUAUAGAAGAAGAAAGCUCACAAGAAAAAAUUCAUGUAGAAGAAAAAGAACAAGAACAUGAAGUUGAUCAACCUGGGAUUCACAGAGGUCUCAAAUGUAAAAAACUCUCUUGGAAAAAUCUUAUAAGACUUGAUUCUUUUGAUUUGGAGGCUGAUAGAUUCACCUCUAAUCAAGGCCCUGGAUCUUCUCAGGUAUUAUUUUUUGUUUUCUCUUUUUUACUUUUCAUUUAUCUUGUUAUUCUUAUGAUAUCUAUAGCCUAUUCUAAAAAUUAUAGGACUAAUGUAAUUUUAGAUGAGCAAUAAACUAAUAAGUUAGUCUAGAAAAAAAAAAUCCAAUUAUCAUUAUUGUUAUUAUUUCGUUUCCAAUAUGAUAUUUGAAGUGUUGGAGUGCAGGCCUUGGAUUGGGGAAGCAUAAUGAAGCUAGCAUUUCAGAGCAUUGGGGUUGUGUAUGGUGAUUUAGGCACAUCGCCUUUGUAUGUGUUACCAGGCAUUUUUCCUAUUGGGGUUAAGCACAAUGAUGAUAUACUUGGUGUGCUGUCUCUAAUAUUUUACUCGCUCAUGUUAAUUACUCUGAUCAAGUACGUUUUCAUUGUGCUAACAGCCAACGAUAACGGCGAUGGUAAUUGAUAAUCUUCUCUCAUGCUUAGCAAUUUGUUUUAAUAGAUUAAUUAUUGUAGUUCUUAGAUUCUCAUUUUUAUUGAUAGAUGAUAAUUAGAAAGAAAUUAAUAUUUCUUGAUGAUAACACUUGCACACAAAAUAACAAUGACAUUGGGUGAUGCUAUAUCAGUGUGUCAAUAAUAAUGCUUUGAACUUUGAAUGGUGUUGAUAUGUUAUAUAUUGAAUUGCUAGCAAGGAAUACAUUGUCAUCAAACUAUUCAUUAUUUUAUAAUGGAAACUGUAUUGUUGCAGGAGGAACUUUCGCUCUAUAUUCUCUCAUAUGCCGCUAUGCCAAGGUCAGCUUGACGCCCAACCAGCAGGCUGAAGACAAAGAAGUGUCUAACUACCGACUAGAUGUGCCAAACCGACGGUUGAAGAGAGCAUCCUUUAUCAAAUCUAUGCUUGAGAGUAACCAAAUACUAAAGUAUUUCAUCUUGUUCAUGACCAUGCUUGGCACCUCCAUGGUGAUUGGAGAUGGCAUCCUCACACCAUGCAUAUCAGGUACAAUAGAGUCAUAUUCCUAAGUCCUACUUAUCUCUUUACUGUUGGUUAAGAUGGUGUAAAAAUUAAGCUGUUUAUUCAAUUCAUUUAGCUUAGUUUCAAUUAUUUAUAACUUCACAUUUCAUGAACUAUUUGCAUCUAAUAUUCUGAAUAAUAAUUUACAUUAUGAUUUCCUCCUUGGUGUAGUAUUGUCAGCAGUGGGGGGAGUUAAGGAAGCUACUAGUGCGCUUACUGAUAAUACGAUCAUGUGGAUUUCAGUAGGAAUCUUGAUUAUUUUGUUCCAAGUUCAAAGAUUUGGGACAGAUAAAAUUGGCUAUAGUUUUGCUCCAGUACUAACAAUUUGGUUUCUUUUCAUCGGAACUAUUGGCAUGUACAACUUUGUGAAGCAUGAUCCAGGGGUUAUCAAGGCAAUCAAUCCAAUGUAUAUUGUUGACUAUUUCAUUAGGAAUAAGAAGAAUGCAUGGAUUUCUCUUGGAGGCGUCAUCCUAUGCCUAACAGGUGUGUAUCAUAAUCUCAUCUCAUUGUUUAAGCACUUUGAAUGUACAGAAAUGAGAUGUAGUGAUGGACUUGGGCUGUUUCAUAGCUACUGUCUCAGGUUUCAACUUUAAAAACAUACGAUUUACAGUAGUGAUUGGAAUUAUUUCUAAAAUCAUAGUAAAUUUUGAUAAGAAAAAAUCCUUGAUGAUUUAAGCACAAUGCUCCUAGAAAAAUGGUUAAGUGCAGCUUCAUUAUCAGUCCAUCUCAAAUCCCAAAUUAUCCUUGAUUGUGCUUUCACUGCAAAUAAUGGUUUCCUUUGUUAAGAACAUGCUUACAAAUGUCUUGUCCAAGACUAUGAACUUACUUUGAAUAGUCCUAACAGAUGAUUGUUGUCUUAAGUAUUGUUUGAAGUUUCAUAAACCAAUAAUUUAUGGAAAUAUGCAAAACAGACUUAUUGGAGGUUUAAGUUAAGUUCAAACAGGUCUCUUUGCACUUUUAAAUUAAUGUUAUUGACUACUGAGGAGCAUUAGUCUCAUUGUCACAAUUGACAAAAGUGAUGAAGGGAUCAAUUUUGUCAUUCUUGAUAUCUUAAGAACCAACAGCGCUAAACCAAGAGUAUAAUGGAUCUGUUUGAAAUUUGCCUAAACCUCAUGCUCUUUUUUACUAUUGUAAACUAAAAAAAUAUUAGUUUUGCUUAUUUGUUUAGGACUAAUCCUAUAGCUGCUACUCAUGUGGUGAAUUUGGUCAAACAAUGACAGGUUCUGAAGCAUUAUUUGCAGAUCUUGGUCACUUCAGUGUUCGUUCAAUUCAGAUAAGCUCAAUCAUUAUAGUUUUUCCCUCGAUUAUUCUUGCCUACUUUGGUCAAGCUUCAUAUCUCCGAAAACACAAUCAGGAUGCUAGCAAUGCCUUCUAUAGUUCUGUUCCAAGUACAUUUACUGUUCCUUAUAAUAUGGUUUUUUUUUUUUUCCUCUUGCUAUCAUAUUGAGGUGGUAUCUUUAUUUUCAUAUGACUCUUUUAUGCAGAACCACUGUACUGGCCAAUGUUUAUUGUGGCUAUAAUGGCAGCCAUCAUUGCUAGUCAGUCGUUAAUCUCCGCUUCUUUCUCCAUCGUCCAACAAUCUUUGGCCCUUGGGUGUUUCCCACGGGUUAAGGUAGUGCACACAUCCGCUAAAUACAAAGGGCAAGUUUAUGUACCAGAGAUCAACACCCUUCUUAUGCUGGCUUGUGUGGGUGUCACUCUUGGCUUCAAAAAUACAUUGAAGAUAGGGAACGCUUAUGGUAAAUCACCUCAAACUUUUCUUUAUUUUUUAAUAUAAUUUUAGAAUUCUGAGAGGUAGUAAAAAACAAUUGUACAAUUUUUUGGAUUUAUUUGGAUGUUGAUAUGAAUUAAGACUUGUCGAAACUCAAAAGCCAUAAAAAUAUUAAGAGCCUUGUGGCUUAGCGUCAUGCAUUACCUGGAGAGAACCUUAUUCAAAAUCCUCUUCCCAUGAUGAUGAUGAUGUUUCAAAGCAAUGAAGUGUCCUAAAAUGAAGUUAAAGUAGUCAAAAAAUGUCUUUUGUGCUUGUUUAUGAGAGUUUAUUUUCAUUGACUUUUUAGGUUCUAAAAUUAAGUUAGGCAAAAGUUGCUUCAAAACGUUGUACAUAAGCUAAAUAAACAUAAUAAACAACUUAAUUUCAUCAUACAGUUCAUUCAAACGAACACUUAAAGUUGUAUUCUUUGUAUCAAUAUGUUAUUUUACUAUGUUGUGUUGUGAAGAAUGAAAACAUUUUCUGUUAGCUUCCUUUUGAAUUCUACAUGUGCAAGUCUUUUCAACUUUUUUUCUUGAUAUUCUUUCAACAGGAAUUGCAGUGGCAUUUGUAUUUACAAUAACAUCUUUGUUUCUUCUCCUUGUGAUGGUCAUGAUAUGGAAGACAAACAUCUACUUGAUCAUCAUGUAUGCUCUAACUAUAGGGCUCUUGGAAUUCCUAUUCUUGAGCUCAGUACUCUACAAGUUUGUUGAUGGAGGUUACCUUCCUCUAUUGUUUGCCUUGACUCUUGUGACCAUUAUGCAUUUAUGGAACUAUGGCUACCAGAAGAAGUACAAGUAUGAACUAGAAAACAAAGUUCCUACUCAUAAAUUGGUAGAGGUAGCUUCUAAUCCUAGCAUCCAUCGGGUUCCGGGUGUUGCCCUAUUUUACACUGAGCUUGUCCAUGGAAUUUCCCCUAUAUUCACCCACUAUGUUUCAAAUGUACCAGCUUUACACUCAAUCUUUGUCUUUGUUUCAAUCAAGUAUCUAACCAUUAGCACAGUCCCUCCGAAGGAACGCUUUUUGUUUGGACGAAUAGAGCCUCAUAAGCUAGGCAUUUUCCGAUGUGUUGUGAGGUAUGGAUAUAAGGAUUCAAGAUUUGAGUGUGACUUUUUUAAGGAGAUGUUGGUGAAUCAAUUGCAGGAGUUCAUACGAAAUGAUCUGCUCAAGCCUAAUGAAUUAGCUGAUAACAAAGAACUAGAAAAGGUUGAUGAAGAAACGGUGCAAAGAGAGGUGGAAAUUGUGGAUGUUGCACUAAAAUUUGGGGAUAUUGUUCAUCUAAUAGGUGAAAAUGAAGUGAUGGCUUCAAAGGGGUCUAGCCUUUUGAAGAAGUUAGCUAUAAAUUAUGCCUAUAAUUGGUUGAAAAGAUGUGUGAGACAAGCAGAUGAAGUUUUCAUGAUUCCUCGCAAUCGUCUUCUCAAGGUGGGGAUGACUUAUGAGGUCUAG
rnacentral:sRNA from 1 species